UCUCGGCUUAUCACCGGCAGUCCCCCUAGAGUGCCCAACUGAAUGCUGGCAACUAGAAGCAGGGGUUGCGCUCGUUGCGGGACUUAACCCAACAUGUCACCACACGAGCUGACGACAGCCAUGCAGCACCUGUCUUUCGGCUCCCGAAGGCACCCCCGCAUCUCUGCAGGGUUCCGAAGAUGUCAAGACCAGGUAAGGUUCUUCGCGUUGCAUCGAAUUAAACCACAUGCUCCACCGCUUGUGCGGGUCCCCGUCAAUUCCUUUGAGUUUUAGCCUUGCGGCCGUACUCCCCAGGCGGGGCACUUAAUGCGUUAGCUUCGGCACGGAGGGAGUCGACACCCCCCACACCUAGUGCCCAUCGUUUACAGCGUGGACUAC
rnacentral:misc_RNA from 1 species